rnacentral:rRNA from 1 species
UUCCGGUUGAUCCUGCCGGACUAACUGCUAUCAGAGUGGGAUAAGCCAUGCGAGUUGAACGUCUUCUAACUGUGGAAGGCGUGGCAAACGGCUCAGUAACACGUAGCUAACCUACCCUAAAGACGAAGAUAACCCCGGGAAACUGGGACUAAUAGUCGAUAGAUCAUGACACCUGGAACGGGUUAUGAUCCAAAAGAGUAGAUGAAUAUGUUCAUCUAUUUGCUUUAAGAUGGGGCUGCGACCGAUCAUGGUUGUUGGUGGGGUAAUGGCCCACCAAGCCUAUAACCGGUACGGGCUUUGAGAGAAGGAGCCCGGAGAUGGACACUGAGAAAAGGGUCUAGGUCCUACGGGGCGCAGCAGGCGCGAAACCUUCGCAAUGUGCGCAAGCACGACGAGGUUACUCUGAGUGUCACCCGCUGAGGGUGACUUUUACUAGGCGUAAAUAAUCUAGAGAAUAAGGGGAGGGCAAGUCUGGUGUCAGCCGCCGCGGUAAUACCAGCUCCCCGAGUGGUUAGGAUGUUUAUUGGGCCUAAAGCAUCCGUAGCCGGUCUUGUAGGUCUUCUGUUAAAUCCACCAGCUCAACUGUUGGGCCGCAGAAGAUACCGCAGGACUAGGAGGCGGGAGAGGUGGACGGUACUUUAUGGGUAGGGGUAAAAUCUUUUGAUCCAUAGAAGACCACCAGUGGCGAAGGCGGUCCACCAGAACGCGCUCGACGGUGAGGGAUGAAAGCUGGGGGAGCGAACCGGAUUAGAUACCCGGGUAGUCCCAGCUGUAAACGAUGCGAGCUAGGUGAUGGGGUGGCUGCGAGCCAUCCCAGUGCCCCAGGGAAGCCGUUAAGCUCGCCGCCUGGGAAGUACGACCGCAAGGUUGAAACUUAAAGGAAUUGGCGGGGGAGCACCACAAGGGGUGAAGCCUGCGGUUCAAUUGGAUUCAACGCCGGG